rnacentral:rRNA from 1 species
UGGGGAAUAUUGCACAAUGGGGGAAACCCUGAUGCAGCGACGCCGCGUGAACGAAGAAGGUAUUCGUAUCGUAAAGUUCUGUCCUAUGGGAAGAUAAUGACAGUACCAUAGAAGAAAGCUCCGGCUAAAUACGUGCCAGCAGCCGCGGUAAUACGUAUGGAGCGAGCGUUGUCCGGAAUUAUUGGGCGUAAAGGGUACGCAGGCGGUUUAAUAAGUCGAAUGUUAAAGAUCGGGGCUCAACCCCGCAAAGCAUUGGAAACUGAUAAACUUGAGUAGUGGAGAGGAAAGUGGAAUUCCUAGUGUAGUGGUGAAAUACGUAGAUAUUAGGAGGAAUACCAGUAGCGAAGGCGACUUUCUGGACACAAACUGACGCUGAGGUACGAAAGCGUGAGGAGCAAACAGG